GACGUAGGUGGCGAACGUUAUCCGGAAUUAUUGGGCGUAAAGGGUGCGUAGAUGGCCUGACAAGUUAACAGUGGUAAACCGAGGCUCAACCUCGUGGAAGCUGCUAAUACUGUCUGGCUCGAGUACAGAAGAGGUUAACGGAACUCCAUGUGGAGCGGUAAAAUGUGUAGAUAUUGCUCGGAAGGCCAGAGCCGAAGGGGCCCUACUGGUACGUAACUGACACUGAGGCACGAAAGCGUGGGGAGCAAACAGG
rnacentral:rRNA from 1 species